GACGAACGCUGGCGGCAUGCCUAAUACAUGCAAGUCGAGCGAACAGAUGAAGUGCUUGCACUUCUGACGUUAGCGGCGAACGGGUGAGUAACACGUAAGAAAUCUACCUAUAAGCGGGGGAUAACAUUCGGAAACGGGUGCUAAUACCGCAUAAUAUCUUCUUCCGCAUGGAAGAAGAUUGAAAGACGGCUCUGCUGCCACUUAUAGAUGACCUUGCGGUGCAUUAGUUAGUUGGUGGGGUAACGGCCUACCAAUACGAUGAUGCAUGGCCGACCUGCGAGGGUGUGCGGCCACAUUAGGACGGAGACACGGACCAAACUCCUACGGGGGGCAGCAGUAGGGAAUCUUCCGCAAUGGGCGAAAGCCUGACGGAGAAAUGCCGCGUGAGUGAAGAAGGCCUUCCGGUCGUAAAACCCUGUUAUAAGAGAAGAACAAAUUGUAGAGUAACUGCUACAGUCUUGACGGUAUCUUAUCAGAAAGCCACGGCUAACUAUGUGCCAGCCGCCGCAGUAA
rnacentral:rRNA from 1 species